UGAGGAUGGGUCUGCGGCCGAUUAGGUAGUUGCUGGGGUAACGUCCCAACAAGCCGAUAAUCGGUACGGGUUGUGAGAGCAAGAGCCCGGAGAUGGAUUCUGAGACACGAAUCCAGGCCCUACGGGGCGCAGCAGGCGCGAAAACUUUACACUGCGCGAAAGCGCGAUAAGGGGACCUCGAGUGCGUGCGCAAUGCGUACGCUUUUCAGAUGCCUAAAAAGCAUCUGGAAUAAGGGCCGGGCAAGACCGGUGCCAGCCGCCGCGGUAACACCGGCGGCUCAAGUGGUGGCCGCUAUUAUUGGGCUUAAAGGGUCCGUAGCCGGACCAGUUAGUCCCUUGGGAAAUCUUACGGCUUAACCGUAAGGCUGCCAAUGGAUACUGCUGGUCUUGGGACCGGGAGAGGCAAGAGGUACCUCAGGGGUAGGAGUGAAAUCCUGUAAUCCUUGAGGGACCGCCAGUGGCGAAGGCGUCUUGCUAGAACGGGUCCGACGGUGAGGGACGAAAGCUAGGGGCACGAACCGGAUUAGAUACCCGGGUAGUCCUAGCCGUAAACGAUGCGAGCUAGGUGUCACGUGGAUUGCGAAUCCAUGUGGUGCCGAAGGGAAACCGUGAAGCUCGCCGCCUGGGAAGUACGGCCGCAAGGCUGAAACUUAAAGGAAUUGGCGGGGG
rnacentral:rRNA from 1 species